GGACCACUAUAUAGUUUGGACUUCGAGCAAGGACUAGAGACUUGUACGGAGCAAAAUGUGGAUGUGAACUGAUGACUUAUAUAGCAAAAUGUAGAUGUGGCCUCAAGUGACUGCAUUACUUACCAACUAACUCAGAGAUACAAGAGGAAGAACUGAAAGAUUCUAUGAUGGCCUGACCUAUCUCACAGAUUUGUUGUUUGAUGAAAUGCAGAGGAAAACAGCCAUGAACACUACAUUGAGCUCUUUGGAGGAAAGACAGGAUAUAAAUGUG
rnacentral:lncRNA from 11 species